rnacentral:miRNA from 2 species
ACGUGUAUACUCAUAGCUAUAAC